CUUGACAUCCAGAGAACUUGGCAGAGAUGCCUUGGUGCCUUCGGGACCUCUGAGACAGGUGCUGCAUGGCUGUCGUCAGCUCGUGUUGUGAAAUGUUGGGUUAAGUCCGCAACGAGCGCAACCCCUAUCCUUUGUUGCCAGCGAUUCGGUCGGGAACUCAAAGGAGACUGCCGGUGAUAAACCGGAGGAAGGUGGGGAUGACGUCAAGUCAUCAUGGCCCUUACGAGUAGGGCUACACACGUGCUACAAUGGCGCAUACAAAGAGAAGCGACCUCGCGAGAGCAAGCGGACCUCAUAAAGUGCGUCGUAGUCCGGAUCGGAGUCUGCAACUCGACUCCGUGAAGUCGGAAUCGCUAGUAAUCGUAGAUCAGAAUGCUACGGUGAAUACGUUCCCGGGCCUUGUACACACCGCCCGUCCCACCAUGGGAGUGGGUUGCAAAAGAAGUAGAUAGCUUAACCUUCGGGAGGGCGUUUACCACUUUGUGAUUCAUGACUGGGGUGAAGUCGUAACAAGGUAGGCGUAGCGAG
rnacentral:rRNA from 1 species